UCCAUAUCUUGGAUGUACAAAUUGGAUGGUGAAUUUUGGGGAAUUGAAACUGGAGCCUCUUCAUCAUCUUCAUGCUCUGGUUUCUUUCCCAAAUUGAAACAACUCCAAUUUUUGUAUUUAGCCAAAUGGGAAGAGUGGACUUACGAUAAUACAAAGAAGGGAGAAGAAGAAGAACAUAUUAGAUUCAUGCCCUUGCUUGCUAAAGGCACUCCCAGACAGCCUUCUCCAGAGGACCACACUCAAGGAAUUGAAAAUCGAUUUUUCUCGUAUUCUAGAAGAUCGAUACUUUGAGGGAAUAGGAGAGGACUGGCCCAAGACAUUGAAAUUGGUUAUAAAUGGGACAAACGGUGGCAGUAACUAUCAACCCACAAGCCAAAGGUUAAAAGAAAUUUGGUAUUCACAAGCAUCCAAUGACUUUUCUGGGGCGAUGCAUGUCUAAAAUUUGAAACCAGUUUUAGAUUCAUUUCAAAGGCACAUAAAUUUACUUGUUCAAGUAUUGGCUUUAAUGCUUUGUGGCUUGCUUCAGAGAGUGGCUGGAUUCCGCCAUCUAUCGAAGAGAAUGAUAAAGGUCUUUGGGAAGUUUGAUAGUAUUAUCUUCAUCAGUUAUUCUUUUUUCUCAAAAUUGAAAUAUCUCCAAUGAUGAGAUUAGAAGGAUGGAAGAAGGAAAAGAAGAAUUACAAUCAGGACAUAUCUUCAUUCCGUACAACUAGAUGCUGACAAUACUGUCAGGGUGCCUUCUCCAUAGGACAACUCAGAAACCAUGCAGGUAUUACAUUGGACCAUGGUCUCCAAUUUAUGCAUACUUUUUAUCACUCCAGAUUUCAAUGCUAACAAUCUUGAUUAAUGUUACUGGGGUAGACUCAUUUCAGCAGCACAUAUAUUAAGUUGUUGAAGUGCUAUAAUGUUUUGUGGUCUACAACAGAUAGAAGAUCAAAAUGUGACAAGCCGAAGAAGAUAAAAAGAUUUGAAGUCAUUUUAUGCAAUUUAACAUAUUUUGAGGUCUGGUUUAGUUCUCUGUAAGCUUUCCAUUUUACCUAAUUUUUCUCUGGAUAAUGUACUUGCAGUCAUCUCAAAAUAACAACCUGGAUUUUCAGACCAGUCAAAAGCAGUUACAACAGGGAACUUGAAGCUUCAUAAUGUCCAUAAUUUAGUUUUGAUGCAGUGAACCAAGGUUUAUAUGUCAUUAAAUAUUUCUCGACGAAUGAAGAUCAUAAGACCAUGUAUGACAGGAGCUUGGCAUUUUGAGAGCUCUUAUCAUGCUGGGCAAGAUUGACAGAGGCAAUUCACCUUGAAAUAUACAACAGAACCUCUUGUAGUUUCAUGCACAACUGCAGAGGAAGAGAUGAUUAGGCUUCUUACAAAAGAAGUCCCAAAUACACGAACAUGGUUACGACAGUCCCAGCACUGAUAGCCAUUAGAACCUUAAUUAUCCAUCCUGAUCCUGAAAAAUGUGGAAAGUUUUCCCAUGUCGCAGCAACGGAAGAAGUAGCCAUGAAUGAUUCAGCCACUCACAUGACCUUGAGGAUGUGAAAAAUGCAAUGUUGUUUCUUACUGUAAAGAACUUAAAAGCCGUUGUUCUGCAAACUGUUGAAUUCCUUUUCAACCAACCCUCCUGGAAGGCUGCAUCAGGAAGGUUUAUGCCAGCAGUAAAAGUAACUGCGACAAUCAAACUUGCCACCAUUAUAAUUGAGCUCUGGGCAUUUUGAAGCGCUUUUUGGAUGGAAGCUCAAGUAAAUCCUCUGUUCACAUUAGUUCCAUGAUUGAUGUAGGCAAGAAACCAAAACAUUUGUUGACAUGCUUGUGUCAAGGCCAGGUGGGGCGCAUAUCCUGUUUUUGCUUCUGGAUCUGUGGUUUUUUUAUGGCACAACUUCUGCCUGCUGGCAAAGUUGGAAGUCUAAGGGCAGUUCACACUGUUGCCCAUAUCAAUCCUUUGGAGUUUUGAAGUAUCAGCUAUUGAGAAUGUAUUUCUGAGACCACUGGUGAUCGAAUUAACAAUUCUGUGCUUGUUUUACAAGCAGCUGUCUUUAAGACUUUCUUGAACUGGUUGCUUUCUGCAUCACUUCUAGCACCGUACUCCUUUAAGGCGGAGAACUUAACAAGAAUAAUCAUCAAGGAUUGGAACUCUGCCAUGCAUGGCUGCAAAGUGCAAUAGGGUGUAACCUUUCUCAUUGUAUUUCAGAGCAAGGUCUUGGUGAACCCUUAAAAACAAUCUAGUUAUCUUCAAGAGUCCUCUGCUACAGGCACAGUGCAAUGGAGAGAAUAUCCAGUCUUGUUGGUUUUUUUAGCAGCACCUCCAAUAUGCUCUGAACAACUUCUGCGUUAUAAGCCAUGUUUCUUCUAGACUUUAAGAAUGAGAUUUGAUUUUUACUUGUGUUCCCCAUUGAUGUGGCAACAUAUAGAGCAGUUAAAUCAUCCUCAUCCUUUUUAGAGUCCAUCAACAAGGAUUGAUUCAUCAUGAGCUUCACCACAUCAAAUGCCAUUUUUAUCCAGGCAAUGGAAAUUGCACCUCCAUUUUCAUAGUUAAGCUUUGUAGCCAUCCAUGGAUUAGUCUCCAAGAGCAGCAUUACCACAUUUGCUUUCCCUUGAUGACAAGCUUCGUGCAAUGGAGUCUCAAGCUUCUUGUUCACAGUUGCAACAAUUUGAAGCGCCUGAACCUUGAGGCAAGUUGAAAUUGGAAAGUUUAUCAAUCAAAAUAUCUGAGUUCAUCUUUCUCUCCUCAUAAUUUCGAGACAGGGUUACUUUUUGAAAACCAAGCAUCAAAUUUCAUCUACAGAGUCGUUAUCAUGCUGCACAAGAUAGACAGGAGCAAUGUGCCGUGGAAUAUAUAACAUAACCUCCGUCCUUAAGAUACUUGCACGUCAUAGGGGAGAAUGUGAUUAGGUUUACAGAUUUCGUUCUAAAUGAUGGUACUUACAAUUGGAGAACAGUGCCAGGAAGCAAACCAACAAUCAUAUACCAGUUAGUUAUGCUUGAUCGCACAAAUCCUUUGCUCUGUUAAGGACACUGGUUCUAAUGGCUUGUCAUC